AAGUCCAGCAGGAAGUUGCUGUCACUUCUUGUUUCUGCUUCCCUAAUACUGAUCUCCAGAAGAAGUGGACAGAUUCCAGAGCCUACAGAACUGGAGAGCAGGCCUGUUGACCUAUGAUGCUUUCAGCAGGACAAUCCUGCUACCACCAAGAUCAAGCACCAUGCAUGGACAUAUUCUAUACUACAUUGGAGACCAGUAAGUUCAACAUCAGAAAUUUUUUCCUUCAGGAUUAAAAGAGAUUGCUGCUUCUUCGAGUCAAUACAGAUGAAAUAGUUUAUGUUUAGAGGCCAUGUUUUUGAAAAGGCAAGAAUAAUGACUGUCCUGCCAACCACUUCAUCUGAGUCCAGCAGAAUAACUGGAACACAUUGGCCCGACUGAAAAGAAAAAUUUUAUUAAACGAUGAAUGA